CCCCCCACUCAACUACAUCCACGACCUCAACAGGACGGAGCUGCUGAGGUUGCUGCUAACCUGUUUCUCUGAGGCCAUGUACCUCCCUCCCUCCUCAGACAACACCAUCCUCAACCCCUGGGUCAGCUUCUUCUGCUCCACAGAAAACAGGCAUGCCCUGCCUCUCUUCACCUCCCUGGUAAACGUGGUGUGUGCCUAUGACCCGGUGGGCUAUGGCAUCC